CAUUGACAACCCGCCAUCAACGUGUACAAACCGUGUACGUAUUUGUCGGCGUCCGGGACAAUCUCGUAUCAACUGAGACGUCCGUGUAUUAACCGACAAGUCCGUGUAGCCACCGAAGUAACCGUGUAAAGUCCGGGGCCAUCCGUGUACGAAACUUUUCUGAUGAAAAACAUGGAUGUCUACAGUCUGUAGACGGAUUGUUCCUGGUAACUACACGGACAGAUACGAUAAACGCAGGGAAGAAAGACAGCGAUAAUCCGUGUAUCUCCGUGAAACAACAGUGAGUGGACCGGAAGAAACCGUUAUCUUCUGUACGCUCCGUUAUCAUGCCGGCACCGACCGGGAUUUUUUCCUGGGACAUACGAGUAGUUACCGUGCUUAUCUGUAGAGAAUCCGGCGUUUUACGGGUCUGCAUCGUGAUAAGACCGUGCUGACACUGGCAUUAUGACGUCACAAAACCCAAAGAUGUCGGAUCAUCCCGGAUGACUGGAAUUUUACAUCCGGCGUCGACCGGCUCCUGAUCCGUGAAUCUGUGAAAGGGGUUUUAGGUUUCUCAGUGACUGGUUUAGGUUUCUCAGUGACUGGAUUAUGUUUCUCAAUGACUGGGUUAUGUUUCUCAGUGACUGGGUUAUGUUUCUCAGAGACUGGGUUAUGUUUCUCAGUGACCGGGUUAUGUUUCAGUGAAUGAGUUACGUUUCUUAUUGAAUUGGUUAUUUUAUUUUUUGACCAGUUAUCAACUAGUGUCACAUUAAACAAUCAACACUUCAUAUAAUUCAGAUGGGGGAUUUUAAAUUGUAUUAAUUCCACUGAUCAAUGUAAUUUUCGUAUACUUAUCUUGAUAGGCGGGAUUCCUUAACCCUCAACCCCAACUACUCUAGCCAGAAUUGUCUGUGGAAGAUUAAUAUAAAAUAAGAUUAAAUGAAAUCCAUUUCAAGAUAGGUGUAUCAGGGCUGAUACACUACUAGGUAUAUGAUAUAUAGUACAUCUCCUUUACGUAAGUAAUAUUAACAACAGGUCUUAAUGAACAAUUCUUCAAGAUCUGAUACUAAAAUUUUUGUUCCCAUUUAUGUAAUAUCCCCCGUGUAAGAUCGAAAACGUCAUCACAAGAGGUAUCGUGUGAUACUCGACAUGUUUAUCUCUAGAAACGAAAUCUCGCCGAACACUGUGCAGUCCUAUACAAGAGUUGCCCAAGUGACGCAUAAUUUUCGCAACAUUUUUUCUAAAGAGUUCCAAAAUUUUCUAGUUCUGAUAUCCCGUAUUGUAACAAAAAUGAUCUUUCUCCGUAUUAAAAAUUAGAUAAUGAUGUUACGAAUGCAAAUGUAAUCCGCCAUGCCGAAUGCAAUAUUAUGAAUACACGUCGUUUCUUCUCGUCAAACGCAAUAAUCGAAAACAUUAUGCUGACCAAUAUACGUAUCCAGCGUAUAAAUAUAUAGGCAACGGGUAGCUCAACAUUGAAAAGUGCAUGGGAGGAGGAGAAGGGGGUACAACAACUUUAAAAUCUGUAUCUAUAAUUAUGAAUUAACAAAUUUUGUCAAUAAACUCCGAAACACUUGCUUCGGAGUUAUCGAAAAUUAAUUUUUAAAAACAACUUUCGUUUUCGAUAAACUAAUAACAAAAAUGAAAGUACAGUUGCGGACACGCUUUCGCGGAACUAAGCCACUAUUCUUAUUUUUUUCUAAAUGGCAACUUUUAAAAGAUAAUACGAUAUGAAGUAAAUCCGUUUUGUCGAUGCUUGAUUUUGAUCUUACAGAAGAAAUAAGUUUUGAUAAUUGUUGAAGUAAGCAGUUGGCAGUUAGCAGUUGACAGUUGCCUGUCGUAUAUAGAAUUCCAUAGUUGAAUGAAUAAAAUAUGUCUGUUCAUUUCUUCAAUCUGCCCCAGAAGUCAUGUGUGCAUAAAUGGUAAAUUGGUCCAGAAAUACAUUUGAAAAUAUAAGAAUAAAAAAUUAUGAUCGUGCGUGCAUUCAAUACCGAGAUAUUCCCCGUCAAAGUUAGCUAUUUUUGCACCUGCCCGAAAUCAAUCAACUGAACUUCCGGUUUUACUACAUUUAUCCAUAAUGACGUGUGACGUCACAACCCAUCAGUCUCAAACAGGCCAGUAUGGCAAAUGCGAGCGGUACCUCCGUUUCUGUGGACGAAAUCGACCUCCACAUAUCAUUUGAAGCGUCUUCCUUUGAAGAUUAUCGUAACGAGGACGUACAGGACAUCGUUCCUUACCAAUAAGAGCCAGCUGCAAUGGAUUCUGACUAUUUCGACGAGUUAAAUGGGGAGAAUGCUGAACGUGAACAACUUGAACAUCGCCUCGGAAGCACGGAAUGGUGUCAAUGUGGAUUCUAUUCCCAUAUGUCAGCUGCCAAGGAAAGUGUAUGCUGCACCGAAUUGCCAAGGGUUGAUGAGAAGAGGGGAGUCAUUCAACAUGGAACUGGCCUGCUUUACUGAACACCCUGGGUUUUCAUCAGUGUGUUUAGAUGUGCAUGAGCUCGAGGCGGCAUAAUACCAAUACUGAUCCCAGUAUGGAGAAAUGAGGACAACAAUUGAAGAGCAAGUCAAUUUUUUUUAUUGAUUUAAUCAAUACAAAAUUCACAUGACCAUUUUUUUUUAUUGAUUUAAUCAAUACAAAAUUCACAUGACCAUUGGGUCCGAUUGCUAGUUUAUCAUUAGUGAAUAAUUUCAAACAUUUCCUGGAAUUACAGGCGUAACAGAUACACAACACACAGGCAAUUUGUUUGAUAGUGCUAAGGAUACCUAGGGCACAAGGUGCGAGUCCCUCUACCCUCGUGUGCUGUGACGGAAUUCCUUUGUCUCUGAGGAGUAUCAAGGAUUCGAUGCACCUGAGUGAUGGAUGGAAAAAUUCACUGCACAGUGGAAGUGGUUGAGAUGGCAAUGAGCAUGGUAAUAGUUCUGAUGACCCUUGAAAGGCCAAACAAGUCUCCUUCAUCAGGACUGAUGGGCUGGAAUAAAUGGACACUAUUUAAAAUUUUAUGUAUGCUUUAUAUCCUUAUGAAUAAAUUACUCUUUACUAUAUGUAUUGUAUUUUGAUAAAUAAUAAAAAUU